GGUGUGUUCAUGGCAGGAGGGGAGAAGGCAGAUUUCUGAUCCGCAAUUUUAGUUUUGCUGUUUUUCCAAUAUUUCAAAAGUUUUCAUGAAGCUGGCAUUUCAACCCCAAACCCCUUUCUGUCACAGGCUUCAUCUUUGCAGACAUUGGGAGCUGUCAUUUCGCACUGCCCUGUGAUGUGGGUGACACUCAGCCGCUGUGACAGGUGCUGGAGAGAGCACACACUCUUCAGCAUGAUGGAGAAUUUUCUUCAGAGUUUUAUCUUUCAUUUGAUGAAACAAUCUAAAACAAAGAAAGUCCAUCCCAUGCAGAAUAAAUAUGUCACCAGACCUGUAUUCAUCUUCUGAUGCUGUUCAAGCAUUAAAGAUAUUGCGACUAAUGGACAAGCCAGCCACUUCAGAUGGAAGAUUUGCUGUAGUACCAUCCUGGGAUCAGGUCUGCAUGGUGCACUGUGGGAGCCCACAGGGUGUGUGUUCACAGUGUUUCUUGGAUUAGACACCUUGGUAUGGCCUGUGGAGAGAUGUUCAUAGUCUGCUGUUCACACAAUCUGUCUGCUACAGCUGAGCUGCCCUUUGCCAACUGGCCUAAAGACAGGAUGGAUAGAUUUAGAUCCACACGUUGCAGCUUCCUAUUUGUUCUUGGUACUUUUUUAGCUCAUGAGUAAAGUCGUUAUCAUCAUCAUUAUUGUUAAUUUCACAAUUUUUUUAUUAAUCUGUUUUGUAGUGCUCAAAAGGUUGCAUUGCAGCUCUGUUUAAGGAAUAAUUUAACUUUGUCUGCUUGAGUGAUAUGUGUCAAUUAAAAUAUCAGUUAAAUGAAUGUCUUUAA